ACCAAGCAGUGCGAAGCUCUUGGCUGACAGUGGUGCCUGCUAAUUUCCACUGCAAGGAUUUCGUCCACGAAUGUUAUCAUAGGUUACGCGCGACUCCAGAGGCAAUUUGGAAUCUCGGCACGAAAUCGUCUGAUGAAAAUCUGAGGUGCCCGACGCAUAACAUUUUGAACGUGCCACGGAGGAUCAAGGCAAAAAACGAGAGCAAAAAAUGGUGCACGCUGAAGGCGGAAAUGAAGCAUGAUCUGGCUUGCAUCUGGUCAUGAAGAAAUUGCUGACACGUUAGUUGCAGUCCACCUCCACCAACAGGGUGGAAAACAAAGGUCGCCAUUCCGAUUAGCUGCUAUCUCCCAGUUCAAGCACUUUUGUGUCUGGACACUGGUUCCUGUGGAUGGGGUG